rnacentral:tRNA from 1 species
UAACUUAUUGUUUUAUAAGCUUUAAGUUUGGGACUCAUAAUCGCUUGGUCGCUGGUUCAAGUCCAGCAGGGGCCACCA